UACGAAGGGGGCUAGCGUUGCUCGGAAUUACUGGGCGUAAAGGGCGCGUAGGCGGCGCAUUUAGUCAGGCGUGAAAUUCCUGGGCUUAACCUGGGGACUGCGCUUGAUACGGGUGUGCUUGAGGACGGAAGAGGCUCGCGGAAUUCCCAGUGUAGAGGUGAAAUUCGUAGAUAUUGGGAAGAACACCGGUGGCGAAGGCGGCGAGCUGGUCCGUAUCUGACGCUGAGGCGCGACAGCGUGGGGAGCAAACAGG
rnacentral:rRNA from 4 species